GCACUGCUGGUGUAGUGGUAGCAUGUAAGAUUCCCAUUCUUGCGAGCCGGGUUCGAUUCCCGGGCAGUGCA
rnacentral:tRNA from 1 species